AGUGAACGCUGGCGGUAUGCCUAACACAUGCAAGUCGAACGGCAGCACAGUAAGAGCUUGCUCUUACGGUUGGCGAGUGGCGGACGGGUGAGGAAUACAUCGGAAUCUACUUUUUCGUGGGGGAUAACGUAGGGAAACUUACGCUAAUACCGCAUAUGACCUACGGGUGAAAGCAGGGGAUCUUCGGACCUUGCGCGAUUGAAUGAGCCGAUGUCGGAUUAGCUAGUUGGCGGGGUAAAGGCCCACCAAGGCGACGAUCCGUAGCUGGUCUGAGAGGAUGAUCAGCCACACUGGAACUGAGACACGGUCCAGACUCCUACGGGAGGCAGCAGUGGGGAAUAUUGGGCAAUGGGCGAAAGCCUGACCCAGCAAUACCGCGUGAGUGAAGAAGGCCUUCGGGUUGUAAAGCCCUUUUGUUGGGAAAGAAAAGCAGCAGGUUAAUACCCCGAUGUUCUGACGGUACCUAAAGAAUAAGCACCGGCUAACUUCGUG
rnacentral:rRNA from 1 species